GCCCGAAUGGUGUAGUCUGGCCAAUCAUUUUGCCCUCUCGAGGCAAAGACCCGAGUUCAAAUCUCGGUUCGGGCA
rnacentral:tRNA from 1 species